AAAAAAAUAUUAUAUUUUAGAGAAUUUUAUAAUUUUUUUAGUAGAUCUAUGAUUCAAAUUUUGAAGACUUAUGUGAAUAGUUGUCUAGAGUAUAUGUUAUACAUUUGAGCUUGAUAAAAUGGUUGAUUUGAAGGUCAUUGAAUUUCAAGUAGGUUGAGAUCUCAAAAAUUAGACUUUGAAGGGAAAUUAGGAUUUCUAAGAUCUACAAAAAUCUAUUAGCUAGAUUGGAAUGAAAUUUAUGUAUAAAAGUAAUAGACUUGAUUUGCUACUCAUAUGUGAAAUUUAAAAACAAUUGAAUGGUUUGAAAUGGAGAUAUUGGCACUAGAAGUUCAACAUUCAGAUUGCAGUAGGAGGCCGGCCAAUACCUAAGCGGAUUUUAGGAUCCUUCUUCGAUUUGAUAAGUGCAAUUAUCUUCAAAUUUUGUAUGCUUAUUGUUAACUUAUUUUUUUAGAAGCCUAUAAAUUUUUAAGCAAGAUCAAUGAUUUAAUCAAUAGAUAAUAAGAUUCUAAUUUGUACUAGAGUUAAGUUGAAUUAGUUAGGUUUAGGUUAGGAUUUAAGAUUUGCUUAGGAUUUAGGAUUUAGGAUUUAUUUAAGGUUUAAGGUUUAUUUAAGAUUUGGAUUUGUUAGAGUUUAGAAUUUGGCCUAAGAUUUAAUUGAAGUCCAUUAGAAUUUGAACUAGGAUUAAAUUAUGACUUAAUUGAGAUUU
rnacentral:lncRNA from 1 species